UUUUUUUUUUUUUUCUUUUUCUUUUUGGCUGUGCCCGUGGCAGCAUAUGGAAGUUCCAAGGCCAGGGGUCGAAACCACACCACCGUAGCCACUGGAACUACAGCAGUGACAACACCAGAUCCUUAACCUGCUGUGCCACCAGGGAACUCCCCGUGAUUUUUUAAAGGAAUCUUAAAAUCUUGUUUGUUUUUGAUGAUUAACUCAUACCUCAGCUUACCCAUCACUUCUUCAGGAACAUCUCCUUCAUCAGAUCAGAUUUUCCAUCUUAUCCCCAUAAGAAACACCUCUUAUGGUACCAUGAAGGUAUCUAGUGCAAGUCCCAUUUUGUGUAUUUGUAUGAACAGCAAAGUGAUAUCUGCCUCCCUCCCUAACUUGAAUGUACAAUCCAUCACUGUGUUCCACAUACUUCUUUACUGUUUCCCAUUUAUUCCUUGGAUCCUCAUCACAAUCCAGGUAAGCAGAAAGGUUUGAUGGUACCAUUGUUAUCUCCAGUUUAUAAAUCAAGAAACUAAGGCAUAAAGGGGUCAAGGAACUUGACCAAGAUUCCACAACGGAUAAGGGAGAGAUUGGAAUUUGAGUCCAUGUCUUCUGAUUCCCGAACUCAGUGAGAGUAACUUAAUCACGAGACCCACGAUUUCCUGAGGGCCUAGGACACACAAUUUCUCAUCACAUUUUUGAAUGAAUGGAUGGAUGGAUAAGUAAACAUAAUUCAAGUAUAAAAUGCAGCUAUUUUUAGAAAUAAACAAUACGUAAAGUAAAAGUUGUCUCUAAUCCUAUCACCACCUCUCCCAGAGAAAACAAUUUUCAGCAGCUUUCUAAGUGUCCCUGACGAUGUGAAAUGCAUUGCAGCGUCUUGAAGUAUUUUACACGUGUGGCUUAUUCUGUGAAUUUUUGACUCUUCAUGAGCAGAAUCGUUUUCCCUCCAGGACAUGCCCGUCACACUGGGACCCUGUUUACUCACAUUUCCUCUCCUGCACCACCACGAACACUCGUGUGUCGCUCAAUAUUAACAGAUGAUGGAUAAGCAGAUGUUUACCACCAAAGCAAUAAACAACGUCAUUCACAAUAUUUACGAUCAAGAUAAAGAACUAUAGGCCGGAUAAGAAUACUGAUACGUAGAAUCGAAACUGAAUAAGUAAUAAAACUCAGAAAGGAAUAAUUAAUAAAUGUUCAAACUGGAGGAGACAGGGCCUUAACAGCAUGCCACAGAGCUCUGUCCCUAUUUCUGGAUGGCUCAGCAUGGCUAGUAAGCAUUUCAUGAAAACAGAAAGCAUGUUGAUCAUUUCUGAAGAUAAGACUAAACUGGAAGAGACAGAUAAUAAUUCAGAUGACACAAUCAGUCUUUAAAAUUGUUCCAGUAAAUGGAAAUAAUGACACAAAACCAACAAGAUUAAAUUUAGUAGGAUUUAAUAGAAAGUCUGAAUUUAAUUUCUACAACUCAAUAACAGAAAUUUAAAAUGGGGGCUUCUGAGUUCCUAUCAUGGCUCAGUGGUUAACGAACCCGGCUAGCAUCCAUGAGGAUGCUGGUUCGAUCUCUGGCCUCGAUCAGUGGGUUAAGAAUCCAGCGUUGCUCUGAGCUGUGGUGUAGGUCGCAGAUGCGACUUGGAUCCCGCUUGUUGUGGCUCUGGCAGAGGCCGGCAGCUGCAGCUCUAAUUGGACCCCUACCUUGGGAAACUCCAUGUGGCCUUCGUGUGGCCCUAAAGAGAUUAAAAGAGUCGGGGGCGGGGGCCUUCAUUUUCUUCUCAGCUUACAAAAGAAGCCUGGGUGCAGCCCAAGAUUGAUUAAGCAAAUCACACUUGUGCAGCAGACCCAAUGUCUGUCACCUAAUUCAGAUAUGCAAGAAAUGUCUAUUCAUUUCCUAUCUCUCAGUUUAACUUCUACGCUGGAGUCCUCAAUCUGCCAACCAGGCAGAGGAAUUAAUCUCAGUCAUUCUUUAAGAUGCUUUAUCACCCCACAGAGAUUCAGGAAUUUAUUCACUGGUGAUGUACAGGGAAUAGGCUGGCCCCACUUGUCCCCUGCCAUCUAUCUAUGUGGAUCCAAGAGCCCUGCUGCUCCAUCGCACUGUUGGGCCAUCAGGGUGUUUGCCAAGCCUGGGACCUCUCUGCCUGAGCUCUCACUGCUUUCCACCUCUCUGGCUUUGCUGCCAGGAAGCAGGACGGGACCCCCACUACUCAGGAACCCAGAGACUUCUUUCUCUGGCUCCCUCCCACUCUCUCACCUUGUUGGUCUCAGAAAACCCUGCCCCCAGUAGCACUUUCUUUUUCCUCCUUAGCAAAUCUCCUUGGCCCUUAUAUCACCUCAAUAAACAUUCUAAAUUCCACCAUGGGCCUAAGCUUUGAGAAACAAAAUCCAGAAGUCUACAUCCAUUGAUUCUACUUCCUACCUUGACAUAUACCUCCCCUGAGACGCCAGGGGAGUAAAGCUAUUUGCUUGAAUUGGAGGAAAGAACCUUGGAAAAUACAAAAAGAAAAAAAUUAAUAGCUUGAAAUAUGCAGCCAUAGAGAUAAUGGGGCACUAUUACAUGGCAUUAAGAGCAACUAUCUAGGCUGUAAAAUUAGAAGAAAAGCUGCCCCUAAAAUAAUGUUAAGUGAGAAAGAAAGAUAUACAAGAAUGACUUCAAUAUAAAAAUAUAUAUUUUUAUAAGAAUCAGGGCUUAAUUUGAAAUGAUAUAAGUUGAUAUAAUAUUUUAUAUAAAAGUAAGUGCAUAAUAACUUUUGAGAGAUAAACCAUACCAAAACAAUGCAAAACCAAAACCAAGAAUUUUUAGAAAUAAUUUAACUAUUAUAAACUCAAGGUAAGCUAGUAAAUGAAAUGUGUGGUUUUUUGAGGAAGGCUAAUGUAAUUUUGAGAUGUAUGGCAUAAAUUGUUAGCUGUCUAAUAAAAUCCAUUCUUCUCUUCCUCCAUUGUAAUUGAAUUGCAACAAGUCACAUGGCUGCCUUAACUAGACUACAUUUCCCAGCCUCUCUUGUAGUGGGUGUAACCGUAUGGCUUUCUUGCCAAAGGAACAUAACCGAAAGUGAUAUAUGCCACUUCUGAGCACAUGAUGGGUGUGCUUUCUCGUUACUGUUUUUUCCUAGCUCUCUAUCCAGAACUCAUACUCAGCUUCAACCAAGAUGAUUUCCAGGAGUUCUCAUCAUGGUUCAGUGGUAAUGAACCCAACUCAUAUCCAUGAGGAUGCAGGUUCUAUCCCUGGCCUCACUCAGUGGGUUAAGGAUCCAGCAUUGCUGUGAGCUGUGGUGUAGGUCAGGUCGCAGACGAAGCUUGGAUCUGGCAUUGCUGUGGCUGUGGCAUAGGCUGGCAGCUGCAGCUCUGAUUUGACCCCUAGCCUGGGAACUUCCAUAUGCCUCAAGUGUGGCCCUAAAAAGGAAAAAAAAAAAAAAAAAAAAAACAGAUGCAGGGUCCAUCCAGAUUCAUUAUUUGCAGUUUCAUAUAAAACCUGAGCAGUUCAAAUGCCAUGACCUCUAGGAAUCCUUGCCUGACCUUCUGCCCUCAAAAUGAGCUAAGGAGCCUUCUCCUGUAUCAUCACAGCACCAAUACCACUCUCUAUCCUUGACUUAAACAUGAUGGAUGGCUUAUAUACUUAUUUACCCUUCUUUCCCACUAGACUGUGAUUCUUUGAGGACAAGAAGCCUUUUGCUAUCUGGAUAAAUGAAUGGAGACUAAGUAGUAAGUUUAAUAAAUGUGCAUCAAACUGAGUGAAAGUGAAAUUAAAGAAAGGUAGUUUGGUUCAAUAAAGCCAGACUCAAAGAUCUAAGCAAUCACUGUUCAAAGUCAAACCAUUCGUUUUUGAAUUACUCAUCUUUAAAGUCAAAGAGUUUUCAGAGUUUCCGCUGUGGCUCAGCCAGUUAAGAACCCAACUAGUACCCAUGAGGAUGCAGUUUAAAUCCCUGGCUCAAUCCCUGACCACCUGGCAGUAUCACAAGCAGCAGCACAGGUCACAGAUUCAGCUCAGAACUGGCACUACUGUAGCUGUGGUGUGGGCCAGCAGCUGCAGCUCCAAUUCAACCCUUAGCCUGUGAACUUCCAUAUGAUACAGGUGCAGCCAUAAAUAAAGGGGGAGGGGGAAGAACUAUAUAAAGUUAAAGAAUUUUCAGUCAAAGAGCUUCUUGCAUUGUGAAGGAAUUUAGCUCUCCAUGACCAAUAACUCUUAACUCCAAAAUUUUAAUCCCCUGUAAAUCCUUGUUCCACUUAAAACAAAAUUUUUUGGGAGGUCCCGUUGUGGCGCAGUGGUUAACGAAUCCGACUAGGAACCAUGAGGUUGUGGGUUCAAUCCCUGGCCUUGCUCAGUGGGUUAAAGAUACGGCGUUGCAGAGUUCCCGUCGUGGUGCAGUGGUUAACGAAUCCGACUAGGAACCCAUGAGGUUGCGGGUUCAGUCCCUGCCCUUGCUCAGUGGGUUAAUGAUCCAGCGUUGCCGUGAGCUGUGGUGUAGGUGACAGACGCGGCUCGGAUCCUGCAUUGCUGUGGCUCUGGCGUAGGCCGGCGGCUACAGCUCCAAUUAGACCCCUAGCCUGGGAACCUCCAUAUGCCGCAGGAGCAGCCCUAGGAAAGGCAAAAAGACAAAAAAAAAAAAAGGUAGAGGGUAACUAGGUAAUAUUUAAUUUAAUGGACUUUUCCCCCUUUUUUGCUCUACUCUUUUACUUCCUUUCCUGGGUCUAUAAUUCCCAUUAAAUUUUCAUAAUAGCCCAUUAACCCAAUGAAAAGAAUUCUAUGCGGUAUUGAGGUUGGAAGGAAAGCUUUUUCUUUCAUUAUUAUUAUGAGAAAUUUUUGGCAAAAAAAUAUUUUUCUUUUUCCAGUGGACCUUUAGUUUGCUCUCUUUCAGGACUUUCAUAAUUAUUCCACUGUUAUCAGUGCACCCUUAGGGCCAAAUUGAAUUGCUUUGCAUUUAUCUCCAAAUUUUAGUAUUACUUUCAAAUUAUUGAGUGUCUAAUUAGAGAAGAUUUUCUCAUAAAUAACAGUUUAAAGCUGUAACACUGAAUGGCCAAAUACCUGCUGUUCUCUCCUCAAUCUUUUCUCUCGGGUUCUCCUAAAAUAGCUUGAGCUGAACAGUGAACACUGUUGCUGUGUUACAAAGAGGAAAGCAAAAUUCCAUGUGCGAAGCCCAAAUUGAAAUCACAGAAGGUAGGAUUCACACUGCUAAUUGUUGCUUAGCAAUAAAAUGUGCAAAACAUGCUAAUGGAACAGUGACAUCAGGCACCAGAGGCAUCUAUGUCGACACUGGCAGGAAAUUAGAAAGCCAAGAAAAGGAAUUCCACCCCUUAGGAACCGGGGAGGGUUUCUGCCCUCUUUCCUACUCAUAGCUCAGCUGCAAACAGAAAAAGUCCCUUAUCCCUUAGAUGCUCCU
rnacentral:lncRNA from 1 species